AAUUAUAUAGUCAAUAAUGAUGAUUCUAAAUUGCAAAUUUGGGGGAGAACUUAGUUCUAUAAUUU
rnacentral:tRNA from 1 species